ACUGUCUUGAUAUUUUUAUAAACUGGCAACACGAUUACUAUUUUGAGUGAUGAGUGAAAGAGAGAGCACAUCAAGAAAAACCAGCAAAACAAACCGAUUGAGAUUCUCGCUCACUCAUCGAACAAAAUUAUUUGAUAAUAAACAAGGUAGCAGCAAAUUGUUGGUUUGAUACCAAAUUUUAUUCUGUAAAAAAACAAUGAAAUGGUCAAAGAUCAAGCCGAAAAGCCGUUCGGCUACUCCGAUAACAUUGGCGCAAUGGCGUUUUCAAGGCUUGUUCUCGGAGAAAUUGCGCUAGAUGAAAGAAAAACAGCCACGAAGUGCACGCGAUGAACGACCGUGCUAAAAUCAUGUAGUCGUCGAAAUUUUGGUUCCCCGGCCAGGCUGGAAGCAUAGUUUUAGUUUUGAUGAUUGUGUUUCUUAAUAAAAAUCAAAUUUUCUAUCGAGA